ACCUGGCCUGACUCUGGUUCCCGACUCGUGGUUCUGAGCUCCAGUUUGUCUCCUGGGGUUCUGACUCUCGACUCCAGUCUUGUGAUUUUGGACUCUGGCGCUGACCUCUAGGUGGGAGUGAUGGAGAGGAGCAGCAAAGUAAUGAGAUUUCCAGCACAGGGGUUGUAAACUCAAAAUCCUGCACUAGAAGAUGAUGUUUCUUAGGGGGCAAGAUGUUACAGGGGAUGCAAAGUUCCUAUUGGAGAAAAUGUGGAUGCUACACACCAUUGUUGUCGGACUGUCAGUUAUUCACUGGGUUUGGAAAGAUGAAUUAUUGAACAAAGCUGGCAUUUUGGAGCUCUGCUGUGGGAUCCUGCAGGAGGCUGUGCUCAGAGCAGCCAGGUGUCAUUUUCAGCAGAGCUCAGAGCUUCCUGCAUCUCUUUCAUUCAACACCUCGAGGCCAUGUACCCAGCUGCACAUUCUCCUCAAAUGUCCAGAAGUGCAAGAGGACCAGGGCCUAACCAGAGACAAGGCACGACUAGUGGGGGCAGGACAUAAGGAAGGAGAUGGGCAGCGCAGUGGUGAUGGCGGGAGGAACACCGGUUGCAUAUAUCAGUUGCGGCUUCAGUUUGGAGGUUUGUGGUUUCGUUUGAGUUUUCAGGGCAAGAUAAAUGAAC